rnacentral:rRNA from 1 species
UACAGAGGGGACAAGCGUUGUUCGGAAUUACUGGGCGUAAAGGGCGCGUAGGCGGCCUUCUAAGUCGAACGUGAAAUCCCCGGGCUCAACCCGGGAACUGCGUCCGAUACUGGAAGGCUUGAAUCCGGGAGAGGGAUGCGGAAUUCCAGGUGUAGCGGUGAAAUGCGUAGAUAUCUGGAGGAACACCGGUGGCGAAGGCGGCAUCCUGGACCGGCAUUGACGCUGAGGCGCGAAAGCCAGGGGAGCAAACGGG